rnacentral:rRNA from 1 species
UACGAAGGGUGCAAGCGUUAAUCGGAAUUACUGGGCGUAAAGGGUGCGUAGGCGGUUCGUUAAGUCUGUCGUGAAAUCCCCGGGCUCAACCUGGGAAUGGCGAUGGAUACUGGCGAGCUAGAGUGUGUCAGAGGAUGGUGGAAUUCCCGGUGUAGCGGUGAAAUGCGUAGAGAUCGGGAGGAACAUCAGUGGCGAAGGCGGCCAUCUGGGACAACACUGACGCUGAUACGCGAAAGCGUGGGGAGCAAACAGG